GUCUGAAGCUAUUGUAGGUUCCCUUGUGUUCUCAGGGAAAAUACGUGUACUCCGUAAGAGCAGAAAAUUCAGGCUUGCUUAGCCACCCAAGACGCUGCCCCCUGCCUACUCCAUCUCCAAGGAAGCGCCUGGGCCACUGGUCUGGUUGGCUAGCGAGGUGUAUUUCAAGCAUCUACUUGUGACGUUAACAACUUUCAAACCUGUGCUGGUUGUGGCAGUCAGGGAAUUCCUGCAUCAUACAGCGAAUGUGCCUUUAUGGCUGCUACACUAGCUAGCUACACUUCCAACUUAUAGUUUUAAAAUUCGUUAAAAAUUAAAUUGUGCCAAAGUAGUGUGAUAUUACUUGGAUUGAUGCCAUUUAUCAUGGAUAGAAAUCAAAUAUAUCAUGUUCCAGUUCAUGAAACUUUUGCAGGAUGGAGAGCACAGAGGAGUGACAUGAUUCCCAUCCUCAUUCUUUGGAGAGUUUGAUAGGAUAAAACUUUGUACUUUAAUUAGCUGGAAUCUGGCCAUACCCUUGAAGAGGACAAGGGAGCUACACACAAAAAAAAUGUAUUGGCAAGAGAUGCUUUGCACUGGACAAAGCAUUGAUCUUCUGUUUUCUUAAGCUUGUUGUGAAGGAAACACUAUCUGGAUAUUGAAUUUGAUUGGAGAUCAAAUGAAGGCAGUGAUCAUGAUCCAACACUUUGACUGUCAAGGACAAUGUGUUGCCAUGUGUGCAAAUCAGGAGUUCCGUCAUGAUUCAUGAGGUGCAGGGAAUAACUCAGAGCCAUGGCUUUCUUUACUAACCUAGCUGUGGUAUAGAUCCAGUUAGCUUUAUACUCACAUAUUGCUGUCUUCCAUAAACCUUUCCAUUUGCCAGCCAAUUUUUUUUUCCAGAAACAGGAUGUGGCUUUUUUUUACAGUAUUUCUGUUGAAGUCAGAUUUCAUAAAUCAAUUUAAACCAGCAUUACGAUGGGUCACCCUCGGAUGGCUGGGAAGUUAGCUAGAAGCCGAGAUUGAGCAGUAUUUUUUGGCAGUAACUGCUAGGAUGAUGGACAUGUGCAGUGUGAAAUCCCUUCCAGUGCCCAACUGCUAGGAUGAUGGACAUGCUCAUGGGUUAAGACAACGACGUCGAGCACUAUUCCGAUAACAAUUGACUGGAGUACUAUUAUGAGACAAUGUCCUAAGAGUAACUGAGAUAUAAACCUCUAUGGUUUGCAUACCAUAUAAACUUCUACUGGUCACACUAUAGAAGAUAUGCACUUGCUGUUGAUUAUGUAAAUGUUAUAUACUGAAGUACUAUUUUGAGCACUUGCUAUUGAU